GAUGAACGCUGGCGGCGUGCCUAAUACAUGCAAGUCGAGCGAAUGGAUUAAGAGCUUGCUCUUAUGAAGUUAGCGGCGGACGGGUGAGUAACACGUGGGUAACCUGCCCAUAAGACUGGGAUAACUCCGGGAAACCGGGGCUAAUACCGGAUAACAUUUUGAACCGCAUGGUUCGAAAUUGAAAGGCGGCUUCGGCUGUCACUUAUGGAUGGACCCGCGUCGCAUUAGCUAGUUGGUGAGGUAACGGCUCACCAAGGCAACGAUGCGUAGCCGGCCUGGGAGGGUGAUCGGGCACACUGGGACUGAGACACGGCCCAGAAUCCUACGGGAGGCAGCAGUAGGGAAUCUUCCGCAAUGGACGAAAGUCUGGCGGAGCAACGCCGCGUGAGUGAUGAAGGCUUUCGGGUCGUAAAACUCUGUUGUUAGGGAAGAACAAGUGCUAGUUGAAUAAGCUGGCACCUUGACGGUACCUAACCAGAAAGCCACGGCUAACUACGUGCCAGCCGCCGCAGUAA
rnacentral:rRNA from 1 species